CUUACCCUGUAUUCAUAGAGGUGAGUGCUAGCCAAUGACUUCGGACACUGCUCUAGAUAAUUACAAGCAGUUUGCUUGGGUUUUUAUUUUACACAGCAAUUAUUAGGGACUGAUAACAUUAUGUUUCACAAUUAACCUAAAGAGAAAUUGUAGGUUUUAGCUCUGAAAGACCUUGAUAGAAAGCUGAUCUGUUUCGAAGGAGGGAAAUUAAGGACAUAUUUCACUAGUUGAUAUCUGGCAGUAGAUUAAUGACUGACAUUUUCAAGACUCUAUAUUGAAGAAUUUAAAUAAACAUUUGUUAACUUGAUGCAUUAGAGUCAAUGUGCUCUUGUCACUAUCGUUGUAAAGGGAAGUGAUUCAGAGAAAAAAAUACAGGAAGGCACGUUAGACACAUGAAACGGUCGUAUAGUACUCCAGAAACACUAUUUUUUUUUAAGCGUAUCAUCCUUCAGAAUAGAAUUCUUAAACAAUGUGAUGUUCAGGUUUGUGCACCUUGAGAAGAAAGUAAGAUCCUCUAAUUUGUGAACAAAGUAAAUAAGCCUUUUUUCCAAGUGCUUGAGACUUUCACUAAACUUACAAUGAAUGAGUUAAUUCAAUGGUCUAUACUAAAGUGUAUCACAAACAGAAUGAAUGUAAUAUAAUGUAAAUGCAGAAUUUGGUGUUACCUGGUCUGGGACCCAGCUCUGGAGCUAUAUGAUCAAUACCAUUGGAUAUUUGAGCCUUAGUUUUUUCUGUGUAAGCAGCAACAGUGAUACAAUCCCAUCAACUUCAGGUUUUAAGAAUCAACAAGAUGAUAACAGUUAAUAUUACUAUACUAAUAAUAAAUAAAGUACUAUAUAAACAUACUUUAAAUAAAAAACGUUAAAGGAACAGUUGUGUGACAGAUGUGGUCAUCAUUAAUAUUUAUUAGGCUAGAACUCUUAUCAAAUUGGUUGCCUGGACCCGUGCUGAGAUCCCCAGGGCUAAGAUCUCUUGUCUCAGUCAGGGAGAUUUUUUUUCCAAUAUGAUUUUGUACAACCAAAAUGAGUUCUCUUGUGGCUCAAGGGGUUAAGGAUCUGGCAUUGUCACUGGAGUAUUCUAGGUCUCUUCUGUGGUGCAGGUUCAAUCCCUGGCCCAGCAAUUUCCACAUGCCCUGGGUGCAGCCAAUAAAGGAAAAAAAGAAAAAAAAAAAAAGUAAUGAAGAAGCAGGAACCUAGUUUGCAAGUCAACAUAUCAACCCAGUUCAGAAGGAGACACCAAAUAUAUAGGAGAGUCGAACUGAAAGUGAGGGAUUUGGAAAGAGUAGGAGGAAAAUUCAUGAGUUAUGGGAGAACAGGGCAUAGUUUGGACCUGGAACUGAUGCAGCUCUCCUUUUCAGGCCUUGUAUGGGCUAUUCUGUUUGUUUUCCUGGCAACUGGCAACUGUCAUGGCAUUGGUGGGUGUGUCAUUUAGGAUACUGAUGUAUUACAGUGAAUAUAAUGAGGCUUAAAGUUUACUGGAAAUCAAAUUUAUAGCCAUCUUAGGUGGUUCUAUUUUUUUCUCUACAGCUUCCCCCUUAGACUUAGAUAAGAGUAAUUGGUUUCUACUUGUGGGAGGUGCAGGGGUAUGAUUCUGGGACCAUAGCUUUGGUAAUAGUACUAUAUGCUAAAUAUUGCAGAAAUUAUCUCUAUUUUUUUUUUUUUUUGGCUGAAUGCUUCAAAGUUUGCCUUGUGAUUGGGUUUUAUCUCAUAAAAAAGAGUAAUUCAUUACACUCAGAGGAAAUCAAGAAUACAAAGAAGUUAAGCAUUUUUUCUUAAAUCAGAAUUCUUAAGCUACUUCUACUCCUAUUGUAUCAGGCUGAUGAUGCAUUAUACAUAUUAUAAUAAUAAAAAAAUUAAAAUAUUUUAAACUCAAGUAGACAUAGUUUAUAAAAAAUUAAGAAUUAAUUGUAAGAAAGAUAAAUAUCCAUAAACAUAUAAAUGAACAUGAAAAUGAUUAGUUUUCUUAAAUAAAAAACUAAAUGUGGGAUUUCAAAAAUAUAUUUCUGCUUACAUGUUUGCUUGCCAAAAUACUUUUAGGAGGAAAAUAGACAAAACUUAUUAAUUACAUAUAUAUAACAUUAUAAAAGGUAUCUAUCUGGAGAAAGAGAAAAUUUAAAAACAAUACAAUGCAUUAGUUAUAGCUUAAAGAGGUGGGGGAUUCAUCGUUUCAUAGACUGAUAACUAGGGUUGAAGUGAAUACUUUAAUGUGGUUUUCCAAAGGAAAGGAUCUUUUCAGAAUGAGAAGGAAUUCAGUGUAUCUGAGUUGUUCUGCUUCCAUGUCAAUUUUGAAAUGAGUUGUGCUGCUUCCUCGUCAAUGUUGAAAUGAAUUAUGCUGUGGAAUGAGGUAUAAUAGCAUGAUGGAUUGGAAUAAGGCCCACAUUGGCCAAAAUCCAGACUCUGCUAUUUUGCAGUUUUGUCACCUCAAACAAGUUAGCCUCUGUGUACAUCUUUUGGUCGAUCUUUAGAAUGUAACACUAAUGGCUUUUUAAAAAAAAAUUUGUGAUAACUUAUGACCUAUCUAGGACAGCCUCUGACAAAUGUUGGAAUACACCAAAGGGCAGCUGUUAACACAACAGAGAACUGACAGGAUAAAAUCUAACUAAAACCUCGAGAAUUCUAUUGUUUUUGAUUCGUUUUGUUUUGUUUUCUUCUUGGUUGCUCUUUCUUUUCUUUUCCUCUUCUUCAUUUUCAGACAACUGAAAGCUUUUAUUCUGUUUUUUUUUUUUUUUUUUUAUUUUGGAUUUUGUUGGUUUGUCUCAUUUCUCUGCUUAAGGGUUAUACCUUAAGACUGACACACCCAACUUAGAUUGUGCCUUUUUUCCAUCCUGUCUAUAAGUAUAAAGGGAAACAUAUAUUAAGUCCUGACACUGUUGAAAUAUUUAAAAUAUCCAUAUUGACUAGAGGUAAUAAGGAUUCUUUAUCCACUGACUUUCAGUCCUUACAAUAAUAACUUAGUAAAGAAACCUCCUAGCCAGAAAACAGUAUUUAACAAACUUGAGUGCCCAUGGGGAUGUGGCUGCUGACAGUCACUGAGGUUUGUAGUCUGCAAUGCACAUGACUCAUGAUCUUGGGCUAUUUCUUGAGCAUCAUUCUUUGAGUUUUGAUAUCAGGAAGUGUAUCAUUUUAUUACAUUCAGAUAAAGAUUCAAGGCAUGUAUUCUAGAUGAACUUCCUGCUGAUAAUCACUGUAAUAGAUAUAAAUUAUCUCAUAAGAUAUAAAAGAAAAUUGAUGUGAAACUAAAUUUUAUCUAAUACAGCUACUUCUAAGAAAUACCAAAGUGUGACACCCACCUACGUCCUCCGACUUACUUUGCUUUACAAAGUAGGGAAGUAUAAUGUUGAUUCUAAAAAAAGACAGCAUAUUUAGGAAUCUACUAUCAUUGAAGAGUCAUAAGAACUAUUAUUGUUAGAUUUUAUUUGAUCUCUGGUGUUUUUAAGAUUUAACAAUGGACAUCUAUUUUGGCUCAAUCUGUGAAUAAUCAUUAUGUGUUCUCACCCAUUAUGUAUCCUCAUCCUUUGUGUUGUGUGUGGGUAGGGGCCUACAGAUGUGGGCUACCCCAGAAAAGACACAGGGUUUUGCAGAUGCUAACAUUCUUAUAGAUGAAAAAGUGCUCUGGAGAGCCCUUAGAGUUCUAGCAGAUGGUCCCCUAGAAGUGGCUGUUAUUAUCUAAAGUGUUUUAUGGAAGCUUAGAGAUAAUCAGGUAACACUACAAAUAAUGCCUACUGAAUAUGCAGUAGGUGAGAAAGUAUCAGCACUCUUUUAAAAAUAAUUUUGGCUUCUGGACUCUCAAGCCUAUAAAGCCUACUUAUAUAUUACAAUAUCUAUGUUUUGCUGUAUAAAUCUUUGCAAAGUUGAGGUCCUUUACUGCUUGUGUUUAUGAUCCAAAGUGACAUUCGAUUUUAUUUUACCGAAUAAACUACACAGCUAUCAACUAAACAAUAGCUACAUAGUGAUAGCUAUUAUUUCUAAAUACACUUUAGUAAAAUACAGGCUUUUUCUUUAUACAAUGGAAGGAACCACUCCCCAACCAUUUCUUUUAGUAGCUCUUCUUUUCUGUUUGAAUCUAUUGUGUAUUGUGGGUGCUAAAAUGUUUUUGUAGAAAGGAAUGUGUUUAUACACCAUUUUAAAAUAAUGAGAUCCAUUCUAAAUGUGAAAUUGCAUGUCCCUUAAUUCAGUACUGAGUACAUAUUCCUUUCAUUGCUUUUCACAAAAAUUGUGAAGAUGUUUAAAAAACAUACCAUUAACAAUAAUAGUCAAAAGUAUUUCUUACAUAGCUCUGGUUCUCAAAAUUGUGCUUCUUCAUUCUAAAGAAAUUUGAUAAUCCCUGCUAGAUUGUAUACUUCAAUCUAUUCAAUCAUGUAUAUUUAAUUUACAUAUGCUCUUGUAUUUGAUUUAGAUGGUUGCUCAUGUCAUGAAGGACAGUAGUCACUCUUUGCAUACAUAGGAUGUAAUUUAAAAAAUUUUUAAGUUGAAAAUAAUAUAUAUGGAAAAAAUAAACACACACAAACCCACACAUACAC
rnacentral:lncRNA from 1 species